rnacentral:rRNA from 1 species
UACGAAGGGGGGCGAGCGUUUGUUCGGAAUUACUGGGCGUAAAGGGCUCGUAGGCGGCCAACUAAGUCAGACGUGAAAUCCCUCGGCUUAACCGGGGAACUGCGUCUGAUACUGGAUGGCUUGAGGUUGGGAGAGGGAUGCGGAAUUCCAGGUGUAGCGGUGAAAUGCGUAGAUAUCUGGAGGAACACCGGUGGCGAAGGCGGCCUGCUGGGCAGUAGCUGACACUGAGGCGCGACAGCGUGGGGAGCAAACAGG